GACGUAGGGUGCAAGCGUUGUCCGGAAUUAUUGGGCGUAAAGAGCUCGUAGGCGGUUUGUCGCGUCUGCUGUGAAAACUCAGGGCUUAACCCUGAGCUUGCAGUGGGUACGGGCAGACUUGAGUGCGGUAGGGGAGACUGGAAUUCCUGGUGUAGCGGUGAAAUGCGCAGAUAUCAGGAGGAACACCGGUGGCGAAGGCGGGUCUCUGGGCCGAAACUGACGCUGAGGAGCGAAAGCGUGGGGAGCAAACAGG
rnacentral:rRNA from 1 species